UAACCCUAACCCUGUAGUGAGUACAUGUAGUUAAUUAAUAUUACUCAGUACUUAAAUGUAUAAUUACAUUGUAACACAUACACCUUAAAAUAAAGUGUAACCAAGUAAACUUUUAGAAACUAAAACGUGGGCUAAUUUAGUCCCAAGAAGUAUUAAAAUAGUACACUUACAAGUAUACUAUGAAUACAUUUAUAUUAGUAUACUUACUACAUAAUAAAAUUAAAGUACACUUAUUUUUUUAAGGGUGCAAAUUACUUGAAUUGCUUUGACUUUUAGAUUGUCUUUCUUUCUUAGCAUGUAGAUAUUUGUUUAUUUACUGUCUGCUUUGUUUUAGCACCCGAUUCACAAAAGGAACCGCUGUGAUCCAGACACCAGAUUUGACUCCUAAUCAACACCUAACCUGUCAAAAUUUGGUUCACUACAUUAUCACAUCCAAACCCAUGACCAGAUGUGAUGCUUUUCCACAUCAUGUGAUGAACUUCUGUUGCUUUAAUCUAUAGGAAACAUAUCUUGGACAGUGGGUGGUUAGCAAAUAAGUUUCUGGUUUUUGCGGUCCCUAAUAUUUAUACAUCCACCACACUAACCACCUCCGUCUCUUCCCAAGCCAUUUCCUUCAGCAAUAUUACACUCUGUUUUCUGUGUAACCAUGUACGAUAUGGAUCUUCACUAGCGGGCUUCAAUGGGAGUAUUGUCUUAAAGGCGGAAAAAAGGAAAAAAGACUUAUCAGCACAUUUUUCUGCAACAGAGCACAAAGUCUAUCAAGUCAAGUCAGUAACAGCAGCCCACAUUCCCGUUAUGCUGUUGGAAAAACAAGUCUACGAUAUCUUUCCGGACCGCUGGAAGGUGGAAACACAGAACUGUGGUUAAUCAGAUGAGGGUUUUUUUUUGUUUUUUUUGUGGGGAUUCCUGAAAGAGUGAUUUCCUUUGUUGGAGCAUAUGCAGGCCAUGCGGCAUGACUCACCUUGAGCAGACAAACCUGUCAAGUUGCCUUCAGGAGCUGCUUCGGGAAGCGAGAGAGAGAGAGAGAG